rnacentral:ncRNA from 1 species
UACAUGCAUCAAGAUAGGUCUUUUUUAAAGACCUGCCAACCGAGCUUCAAAGCCACGAUGGUAAGUUCCAACAAAAGGAAGAUGUGUCCGUAAAGGAAAAAACGAUCAACCGCCU